rnacentral:rRNA from 1 species
AUUGAACGCUGGCGGAAUGCUUUACACAUGCGAGUCGAACGGCAGCACGGACUUCGGUCUGGUGGCGAGUGGCGAACGGGUGAGUAAUACAUCGGAACGUGCCCAGUCGUGGGGGAUAACGUAGCGAAAGCUACGCUAAUACCGCAUACGAUCUAAGGAUGAAAGCGGGGGAUCGCAAGACCUCGCGCGAUUGGAGCGGCCGAUGGCAGAUUAGGUAGUUGGUGGGGUAAAGGCUCACCAAGCCGACGAUCUGUAGCUGGUCUGAGAGGACGACCAGCCACACUGGGACUGAGACACGGCCCAGACUCCUACGGGAGGCAGCAGUGGGGAAUUUUGGACAAUGGGCGCAAGCCUGAUCCAGCCAUUCCGCGUGCAGGAUGAAGGCCCUCGGGUUGUAAACUGCUUUUGUACGGAACGAAAAGGCUCUGGUUUAUACCUGGGGCUCAUGACGGUACCGUAAGAAUAAGCACCGGCUAACUACGUGCCAGCAGCCGCCGUAAAAC